ACUGUGAGACCAGAAGCUUCGUUCUUGUCUUCUCCUUCCUCUGCCUCACCGCGUCGUCGGCACUAGAGCAUCAAAGUCCCGUCCGUCGUUGCUGAGGUGUUUGUGCAACUUCUUCCUUCCUUCCUUCCUUGUUCUGCACCUCUAUUUUAUAGAGAGCUCCAGAAACCACUGAGAAAAUGAGAGAACUUUGUUCUUCCUCCACAUACUUCUUCUAUCAUAAGCGUCGCCGGCGAGGGUGAGGUUGCGGAAGGGCUUGGUCGCUGGAGAAGCUUGUGGUGUUGCCGUUAGAUGUUGCUGUUAGCCUCUCAUUUUCCUUUCUCGCUGUAGCUAUGUCAGAAUCCUUUCCUCCCCUGUUCAAUGUUGUGCGAUCCUUUUUCUCUCCUUGCUUUUUCUGCUGCUGAUAGAAAGGUGUUUAGAAGAAAUAAGACUUGACUUUAAAGAGUGAAUUUGUACUUGGGGAUAGUACAGAACACUGGAUGCUAACGGCAGUCCCGUUAGCCCUUGGCGCGUCAUGGUACACCUAGCUAGCAGGGUGUUUACAGGAGGUGCUAGCCCCGUGCGAUGGC